UUUGAGGAAAAUGCACAGCACUGCCAUUUUCUUAAAACUCGUCUGAAGAGCAAAUAAAUGAUUGUUUCUGUUUAUCAUUAGAAACUGACAAUGUUAAUUUGCAGGAACUCAGACAAUUUACCUUUGAAUGAGGACAACCAAUUGAACAACAAAGACUUAAUGCUGCCGAUUCCCUCAGACCCAGCUCUCAAAGUGGAUGUUGGUAAAAUAAAGUGUCCACUUCUGUUGGUGAACGGUGGUGAUGAUCAGAGCUGGCCUUCUGUUGAAUCUGCUGAAGAUAUGAAGCUGAUAAUGGAGAAUGCAAGAUAUCUUCACUUGUUGAAAGUCCUGACAUAUCCUGGUGCAGGUCAUCUGAUCGAACCUCCUUACACACCUCACAUCCGUGCA